AACAAGGUUUCCGUAGGUGAACCUGCGGAAGGAUCAUUAUCGAUGGCCGCGCCGUGAGCGCCCUGGUGCAGGAUCGGCCGGCCACUGACCACACCCUUACUUUACGAGCACCUUUCGUUCUCCUUCGGCGGGGCAACCCGCCGCUGGACCCUCAUCAAACCUUUUUUUGCAUCUAGCAUUACCUGUUCUGAUAAAAAACAAUCGUAACAACUUUCAACAAUGGAUCUCUUGGCUCUGGCAUCGAUGAAGAACGCAGCGAAAUGCGAUAAGUAGUGUGAAUUGCAGAAUUCAGUGAAUCAUCGAAUCUUUGAACGCACAUUGCGCCCCUUGGUAUUCCAUGGGGCAUGCCUGUUCGAGCGUCAUCUACACCCUCAAGCUCUGCUUGGUGUUGGGCGUCUGUCCCGCCUCUGCGCGCGGACUCGCCCCAAAGGCAUUGGCAGCGGUCCACGGCCCCUCUCGCGCAGCACAUUGCGCUUCUCGAGGCGGCCCGGCCCGCAUCCACGAAGCCCACAUUACCGUCUUUGACCUCGGAUCAGGUAGGGAUACCCGCUGAACUUAA
rnacentral:rRNA from 1 species